rnacentral:rRNA from 1 species
CCUGACGACCAUAGCAAAGUGGUACCACCCCUUCCCAUCCCGAACAGGACCGUGAAACGCUUUAGCGCCGAUGGUAGUGAGCAGAUCGCUCGUGAGAGUAGGACAUCGUCAGGC